GAUUGCGGUGAUGACUCAGAAAAUUUCAAGCUCAACAGACCGGAUCGCAGGUCUCUCUCUUCGAGGGAUUUGUAUGUCGACGACCCCGCUGAACUGAGCAUUC